GGAGGGAUGGCUGAGUGGUCGAAAGCGGCGGUCUUGAAAACCGCAGUAGGCGCAAGCCUACCGGGGGUUCGAAUCCCUCUCCCUCCGCCA
rnacentral:tRNA from 1 species